rnacentral:lncRNA from 1 species
GUGCAGGAGCCCACACCUUCCGUCAAUGCCUGGCCCAGAACCUGCACACUGUCCGUGGCCACUAGCCCAUCAAGUGUUCAUGGAAUGGGCACUGGCCGGGUUCCAGUUCAGUUUGAAUGGGUCUAGUUCUCGUUUUGGGGCCCUUGUUUCUACGCCACCAAUGGGUGACAUCCACCUGCCUGGAACAUGAAUGGGGCAGAGGACCCGGGAGGUGCUGACUGGUAUCUCAGGUGUGGGGGCGGGAACUGGGCCGUGCCUUGCUGUUUCUAGGGCCUUUCGUGGCCUGAGGCCCUGAGCUCAAACCCUGGCCAGGGCAAACGACAGGUAAACGAAAGGUCCACUGCACAGACACAGACGCAGAGACACAGGAUCACACACACCUUCGGGGCAGGCUCCGGGGACAAUUCUGAAAGUGGAGGACCUUCCUGCCCUGUCUUUCCUUCCCAUUCGUCCUGAGGCCUGGGAGUUUCCUCCCCAAGCAGGGGGCCCAUUGCUCUCCCUGCCCUGCUGCAAAACUGGCAUGUCCCAUUCCAACUGCUAUAACUGCGUCUCUUCCCCAGGCAUCCCCUACUCACACCCAGACCUUUUUUUUGAGAUAGAGUCUCGC